CAUGGUGCAAGCUGGAUGGGGGGUGCGGAAGAGCGUAAGCAAUGGCAAAGUGCAUGCAUGCACACGCCACUGCAACAGCGACAGAAACAACAACAACUGUUGUAAAGAAAAGUGCAAAGUAAAUGAAAAGAGAGACACACAAAUGGGAGAGGGACGAGGUAACGCCGACGCCACACGUGAAUAAUAAUUGAAAAAGAAGCGAGUGCAAGUGAAUAAGAUAGAUGCACAAUAGAACCGAUGCUGCAAUUAAAAGUUAUGAUUCAUUUAACCCGCACCCCUCUCGAUGCACAGCACUGCCAUCACUAAAUGGGAGAGCGGACUGGACUCGAUGACCAAUUUCAGAUUUUCAGCCUUAUUUGAACAGACAAGACCUCAUCCCCAUCACCAGACGUCAGAGCAGAGCGGCAACUUUGUCUAUGUCUCCAAUGCGAAUACGAAUACCAAUACCAGGAUGUGUGUACGUCUGUGUGUCCAUGCAUUUUGUUGCCAUAUUUAUGCGUUCGCAAUGCAGACGUUUUUAAUGUCUUCUCUUCCGAAACAACAAAAACCAAAAGAAAGAAUAACCGGGAUUCAGUAAAAACCAAAGGACUAGUGUUCCCAUAUAAUCUUGGUUCUAUUGCUGAUCAGAGAUUGCCAAACCUUUAGUCAAAAUCAUAGGACCUCUCUCGCAUAUCAGGGUAUAAGAAGAGCAGACUGGAGCCAGGGCUCCACUUCAUUAUCUGCGUCAUCGUGUGGCAGCCUCAAAUUGCAUCGAGUGCAAUGCCUGGGAGACUUCAUUGUUGCAUCUAUUGAUUAAGUUCUCCCCGCACUUCCCUCAGUGCUCCAUCUCUGCUGACCAAUUUUACAUAAGCUUCCAGAGAGUGACACCGGAAUGUGGGAGUAAGGUAAGGAGAGGGAUAACAUAACCCAAACCGCAAAAACAACUUAAGUGAAAAGGAAAUGAAAGCAGAGGCUGAUAUGGGGACGGACAGACGCUCAAGGUGCGAAAUGUGGGCGAAGGAGAAACGGAAUCUGUUAAGGAAGGAAGUGCAUUUCCGAAAUUGAUUCACCCUAAGCGGAUGAGAGGGCCAUAAGGGGGCGACACUUACCUGAUCAACGGCUUGGGUGGCGGCCACCAGGAGGCCCAUCAGCAGUGCGGAGAGCAUCAGACAUUUACCGUUGCAACGCAACGACAACGUCGCCGUCAGCGUGCUGGUCCUCUGCUUUGGCAUCAUUCUUCUCUCAGUGGAGUCGUGGGCGUCGGCGUCAACGUCGACGUCGCUUACUUUAGAUGAUGGGAGCAGCGGCUGGAAAGAUCUUCCAGUUUAUGUUUAUUGAUAUGUGGAGGGGCGGGCGGAACUAGACACACAAAUAAAUGCACUAUGAAUAUUUCUCCGAUUCACGAUCUUGUUACGAUCUUCAAUAAACUGGUUUUACACUGCAA